ensembl:lncRNA
UGGAACUUCUGAGAAUAUAUCCUAAUAAACCUCACAGUUUCUAUUUAAUCCCCUUGGAAUGCUCUUUCUCAGGAUGUUCCUUCUUGGAAUCUUCCCUCCCAAAACUUAGCUGCCACGCUGUAGAGACCCAAGCCACAUGAAGAAACCAUGUAGCCUCGAAUAUUAAAUGUGAGAAUUGAGGAUUAUUUUUUACACUUUAUAUUGGAGAAAAUGAGUCAAAAUCUGAAAAUCAAGCAGAUGCCGUGCUGAAUCUAGAGAAAGGAAGACAGAGACUGGAGUGCAAGCUUACGCUACUCUACUGUAUGUCUGCAGUGAGAGAGGAAACUAAAAUGUCCAGUUCAGCUCACGAAGGUAGAGGACAGGAUAUUCACUGCAGGCAGAAACGUUCAAAGGAAAAAAAGGACCUCGAUUAUCCUUUAAUAUUUAGUACCAUUAAUAAUGCCAACAAAUAUUAUGAACACCAUUUGAGAUUUUGAGCACUGUGUUGGAAAAUCUCAAUAAACUGUCAGAUCUAAUCCUUAAAACAACUCUCCCACUUAGGUUUAGGAAGAACUAAUUCCACACCUACUGCCAUUCAGCAUACUAAAGAUGGCAAAAGAAUUCUGCCUCAGAUUUAUGUGACUACACGUGCUCUUUCCUCCAUACAACUUUCCUUGGGUAUUUGCUACAUCUCAGUAACUACCCAAGAAUUUAGUAACUAGACAUCAACUCAGUGCAUAGCAGGCUGUCGCUAACACAACUGCCGUCUUUGUAUAGUGAAUGAACCUGCACCUGGCAGUUCGCCUGUGUGGGAGAGCGGGGCUGGAAUCCGCAGACAGUGCCCUGGCAGAAUAGAUCUGAUGACUGAGAUCUAUCAGAGAAAGGUUUCACAGCAUCUCACGUGGCUCUCUCUGGAUGGUGAGCAUUGAAUGAAUAUGUAAUGUAAGCAAGGAAUCAUUAAAGGGAGAAAUGAAGCAAUAACUAAACAAACAGGAAUUAUAAGCCCGAAUGGGUGAACAGAUAUUGUAACUUUGUUAAACAAUCAAAAACAACAGCAUUCGACUUUUCAGGAUUGCCUUUGCUGGGAAUAGUAAACAGAUUUGAUUAUUCUGAAACAACAUUAUAAGGAAAAGCUCUAUGAAUGCUAUCAAUCAGCAGGUGGUAUAUAAAAGAAAUCCAGAAAUAAAUCAAGCUAUUCCUUAGAUUUUUCUAGCAACCUCUGCAGCUGUUUAAAGCAGAAUAAAUGUGGCCACCUGUGACUGCAUAGACAAAGACAAUUUCAAUAACUACACAUCAACAAAAACAACCAAAAUUUUCAACACGCUCCUACAAGGUCCCCAAGUGUAUGAGAUUUAUUUUACUGCCAGAACUGCUUAUUGAAAAAGGAACCUGUAUUUAGUGAUGAAGAGAUCAUGAAGGAGCCACCUGGGACUCACCACUCAAAAUACACAAGUGAACUGAUUAAUGCAGAAAAGAAGUUUCAAAAUGUUAGGGACCAUACGAAGCUCUGACAUGGUGUUGCCAAGUGGCUUAUAGAUGAAAUGCUGUGUUGCAGACAAGCAUUUCCAGACACUGGCACCCUCAUGACACCUCCUUCACAGAAACUCUCAAUAGUGCCGACCAAAUCCCCCUGGAGGAUUUCUCAUUUCUAUAAAAAACGUACUGAACAAGGGAGGAGCAAAUCAUG